UAAGAGGGGGAGUAACAUCCGGAAACGGUGCUAAUACCGCAUAGUUUUCUUGAUCGCAUGAUCGGGAAAGGAAAGACGGCCUUUGUGCUGUCGCUUAUGGAUGGACCCGCGGCGUAUUAGUUAGUUGGUGAGGUAACGGCUCACCAAGACGAUGAUACGUAGCCGACCUGAGAGGGUGAUCGGCCACAUUGGGACUGAGACACGGCCCAAACUCCUACGGGAGGCAGCAGUAGGGAAUCUUCCGCAAUGGACGAAAGUCUGACGGAGCAACGCCGCGUGAGUGAAAGAAGGUUUUCGGAUCGUAAAACUCUGUUGUCAGAGAAGAACAAGUUGGAGAGUAACUGCUCCAGCCUUGACGGUAUCUGACCAGAAAGCCACGGCUAACUACGUGCCAGCCGCCGC
rnacentral:rRNA from 1 species